rnacentral:lncRNA from 1 species
UCAAUUACACGUGUUUUAGGGAGUUAAACGUCUUAAAAAAAGCUUCAUCUGUUAUUUUUCCGGUCCUAGUGGAGUUUAUUCAACCCAUUCCCCAGUCUCCCGCAUUAUUCAAAUAAGUGUGCGACUCCGUAUGAGGACAUCCUUCUCCUAUGCCUGCUCUUCGUUCACACAGUUCUCAAAGUAGAAGAGGAAGGGUGGGCAUUUAGGUACCAUGAGCCCUUUGUCCCACACUUUUGCCACUAAGUAGGCAAGGCCUACUACACAAGCAAUAAGGCAUCUUUACUCAAUGUUGAAGCUAGUUCUGAAUGGUCAAAUAAGCCAUGGCUUGGGGAGUCACUGAAACCAAGACUUUUGAUUUAGUGCGUAUUAAAAAGAACAAAAGAAGGAUCCUAGCAGGAAGUUGGACUAGUUAUUAUACAGACUAUCUCACGCCCUCUCUCAACCCCCAUAAAGUACCAUACGAUUCUGAGUAAACAUCUCAAUCUUAAAUUUUUCCUUUAUAUGCUUUAGUAGAUAGAAAGAUUCUUUUGACAGGCUACUCUUCAAGUAGAACAACUCUCAUUGUCUCCCAAAGCAGCCUAGUCAUACAAUGCAGUUGCAGCUAGAGAUGAGGAUCCCACCUAUAUAAAAGAAGAUGAAAUAGCAAGUGCUUGAGAAGAAAAGAAGCUGUGAGGAAUGCGUAGACGCUAAAAGAUUAGCUGACACUAGAUAGGAAAGGUUUUGGAUCGAAGCUGUCUAACAUGCUCUGAAGACCUCCUUUCCUUGAAGAACUGCAUCCUCAUUUCCUUCCGUCUUAUUUUCAUUUUCCCCUAACGUCUAUCCUUCUUCGAGGCGUCUUCGCUUCUCACCUGUGUCAAUAAAAAAUAUCAAGGUAUGUUUUAACAAAUAGGGAAUUUCCUCUGCAUUUCUUGAACUAUAUUGGAGCUUUACAAAGUGGCAGAAGAUCUCCAUAUAUGGAUGCAGUCGUUUUAUUCAUAUGAUUGUUGGGUCGCAAGUCGAUGAAAGUUAUUAAUAUUUUCAUUUAGACGAUUGUUAGUAAAAUUACUUAUGAAUAUGAAAAGCUUGACGUUUUAAGCAGAUUAUUAAGUUUGCUUAUUCUAGUUUGGAUAUUUAAAUAUCCAAAUUCUUUUCUUUUUCUGAGAUCCAUAACUAAUGUUUUGUGCUUGGACUUUCCAUUGAAAAGAGUAUCGUUUCAGUAAUUUAAAAAACGUAUUCUUAUAUAAUUCUAAUUUUUAAGUGAGAAUGGAUCCUAGUCCAAGUGGAAUUCGGUAACAUCAGUCAAAUAUACCUGCAUGAAUAUCUGUCUAAUACCUCAAGAACCAAAUCUACAAGCCCAAAACCCUAUUUAGCAACAAUUGAUUGACGGAACAGAAAUUCCAUUAGCCCGCCAAUUUCAAACAAUACUCUCUUCCUCAGUUGAAUUUCUAUUAACCUUAAAAGAUAUGGGUCUGAAUUAAGGAAGUGGGUUUCGGACAAAUUAAUGUAUCUACUGGGGUACUCACAGCCCACACUUGUUACUUAUGUUCUUAAUCUUUCUAAGCAAGCUUCAUCAGCUGCUGAUCUAAUAAAUCAGCUUGUAGACAUGGGUUUGUCUUCCUCCGACGAAACGAAGGUGUUUGCUCAAGAAAUUUUUGCUAGAGUUGAGCGUAUGACGACAGGGCCAAAUCUGUAUUUACAACAAGAAAAGGUGGCCGCAAUGUUGCCGAGGAAGCAAAUGACCUACACACUUUUAGAGGCUGAUGAUGAUGACAACAAUGUUGGCGCGGAAAGUAAUUCUAGGAAAGAGGAUACCCGUAAAAGGAAAUUCAGGAGGAGGGUUGAGACACAUGAAGACGAAGAUGAUGACGAGGUAGUUAGGAAUGUGGAGGGUGAAAGAUGCGUUAGGAGACGAACUUCCCAAGAGCAAGAUCAUGACAAUGAUAACUCCGUGUCAGAAGAGGAAGAAAUAAUUCAGGACCAAAGAGAGAGGGAAGAGUUGGAACGACAUAUCAGAGAGUGAGAUGCUGCAGCCACUAGAAAGUUGGUAGAGCCAAAAUUAACAAGGAAGGAGGAAGAAGAGGCACCAGGAGGUCUGAUGCCUUACAGCGAAAUGACGUUGCAAUUUUAAGGAAACUCUCCAGACUAGAAUACUUAAAGAAAAGGGAGCGGAAGAAGGUAGAGGAACUCAAAGACGAAAUAGAAGAUGGCCAAUAUUUGUUUGACAAAGUGAAGUUGACAGAAGUAGAGCAAUGUGAACUGAUAUAUAAGCAAAAAAUAUAUGAACAAGUCAAGAAGUCAUCAGAAGAUUCUGGUGUCAUAGGCGAAUAUAAAAUACCUGAUGCCUAUGAUGUUGAAGGUGGUGUAAAUCAGAAAAAGAGAUUUUCAGUUGCCAAACUACGUUAAAGGGAUCCAGAUGCUGCUGAAAAGACGAACUCGUUUUCGGAACAAGAAGCAUGGGAAGAUGAUCAGAUUGGGAAGGCAACACUUACAUUUGGAUCGAAAAAUGGAAAGCCAAGAUCUGAGGACUAUCAAUUUGUAUUCGAAGAUCAAAUGGAGUUCAU